UGUCCACUCCCGGUGUCCACUCGGCCGCCAUGGCGUGGCUGGAGCGUGUCCAAGCGGGCGGCCGUGGCCUGGAGCGCCGGCUGGACUUGGUGUCGGCCGAGGCGCUGCUGGCCGGGCUGCGGGCAGCCGGAGCUGUGACCGAGCCCGAGGUGGCCGCGCUCGGACGGCCGGGCAGCUCGGGCUGGGUGCGGCGGCUGUGCGCUUUGGCCGUGGCCAAAGGAGACCAGACGUGCCGUGUCCUGCUGACCGUCCUGGAGGGGCUGGAGGGGCCGCCCCGGCCGGGGCCCUUCGAUUUUUACGACCCCCAGCGUGACGCAGCGCCCACACACCGCUCGGACUGUCCUUGCUGCCAGCCAGAGCCCCAGGGGGCGGGCGAGGAGGAGGAGGAGGGAGAGCCCCGAAAUGGGGAGGAAGGCCCCAAGGAAGAGGAGGGAGAGGCCCAAAACGGGGAGGAAGGUCCCGGGGAUGAUAAAGGUGGAGGAGAUGAAGCGCCCGAGGGUGAAGGUGAUGAAGGCCCUGAGGAAGAUGAAGGCCCCAAGGAUAAUGAAGGUGGAGGGGAAGAAGGCACCGAGGAUGACGAAGGUGGAGGGGUUGAAGGUCCUGAGGAUGAUGAAGAUGGAGGUGAUGAAGACCUUGAGGAAGAUGAAGGUGGGGGUGAUGAAGGCCCCGAGGAGGAUGAAGGUGGAGUGAUGAUGAUGAAGAUGAAAAUGGCCUCCAUGAUGAUAAUGAUGAUGAUUAAGAUGCUCUCCAUGAUGAUGAUGAAGAUGAUGAUGGCCUCCAUCAUGAUGAUGAUGAACAUGAAGAUGAUGAAGAUGGCCUCCAUGAUGAUGAUGAUGACAACAAAUUUUGGGCCAAAACAAGCCCAAUCCAGAUCCUCAGUCCACCCAACGCCCCCCCUCCCUAAGCCUUUUUCCCUCCCCUCCUCCCCUCCCCCCAUCCCCAAUAAAGCCCCACCCCCAGCACAGCUGCAGCCUCAGUGGGGGCGGGGCCUUGUUAAUUAAUGAAGCCCUGCUCAGUGGGGGAGGGGCGGGGCCAUCCCAAUGGCCGAGGGCCUGAAUGGUCAGCAGUCAGUGGCCAGAAUGGGGGUGUGGCCUUGGCCCUCACAAUGACCAACGGCCGCUUUUGGUUCUCUGUGGUUUCCACGACCAAACCCCAACUUUUGGGGUCCUCCUUGACCCCAAUGACCAAACCCCAACUUGGGAAGGUUCUCCGUGAUUUUAAUGACCAAACCCAACUUUUGGGAACCUCAACAAAAACGUCCAAAUUUAUAAGGUUCUCCAUGACUUUGAUGACCAAAACCCAACUUUGGGGAUUUAUCUGGAAAGCCUCCACCAAAAAAGUCUAAAUGUGGAACCUUCUCCUUGGUUUCUAUGACUCAAAACCUGACUUUGGAAGGUUCUUCAUGACCUUGAUGACCAAACCCCAAAUUUGGAGGUUUCAACUGGAGAGCCUCCACCAAAAAAAUCCAACUUUGGAAGGUUCUCCUUGGUUCUGAUGACCGAACUCCAACUUUGGAAGGUUCUCCAUGACCUUUAUGACCAAAACCCAACUUUUGAUGUUUCAACUGGAAAACCUCACCAUAAAAGUCCAACUUUUGGCUCCUCCUCAGUUUCCACAACCAAAACCCAGCCCUUGAAAUCUUUCCAUGAUUUUAAUGACCAAGCCCCAGCUUUGGGGAUUCAACUGGAAAACCUCCACCAAAAAAGUCCAACUUUGGAAGGUCCUCCUGGCCUUCUGUGACCAAAAACCCAACUUUUGGGGCUCUGCACAGCCCUGAUGACUGCUGUGCACCUCCCAGGGGUUCUCCUUACCCCCAAUGGCUGCCCCCAAGCCCCCCUAGAUGCGGAAGCUCUCGGCCUUGCCGUCGAUGUGCCGCAGCCUCAGGUAGACGUCGGUGCCGACGCCCUGCAGCGACUGCAGCACCAGGCACCCCGCCAGGUACUCGGCAUAGGUGCGUGAUGUCAGAGCCCGAAGCCAAACCUGUGGGGGCACCCAGUGUUC
ensembl:lncRNA